UACGUAGGGGGCAAGCGUUGUCCGGAAUCAUUGGGCGUAAAGAGCGUGUAGGCGGCCAGAUAAGUCCGCUGUGAAAUCUCGAGGCUCAACUUCGAGCUGUCGGUGGAAACUGUCUGGCUAGAGUCCGGAAGAGGAGAAUGGAAUUCCUGGUGUAGCGGUGAAAUGCGCAGAUAUCAGGAGGAACACCGGUGGCGAAGGCGGUUCUCUGGGAAUAUCCUGACGCUGAGGAGCGAAAGUGUGGGGAGCGAACAGG
rnacentral:rRNA from 1 species